UAGCAGUCUGUGAUGGAAAUGGUGCUGGACUUGGUGAAGCAGGACCGGAGCUUCUCCUCGGCUCUGCUAUGAAGUAGCUGACUGUGGUUCGGGGGAGGGAUACUCUGGGCUAUGCUUCCUAGGUCCACAGCCUGAGGGCUGACAUAAGAUGACCUCUGAGGUUCUGCACAACCCUGAGACUUAGAGCUUUUCUGACUUGUUUUUCAAGCAUGAAGGCUGCUACAGACAUUCUUCCCUUUUUCUCUGUGACUGGAACACAGACUGGAUGGCAACGAUGGUAAAGAUGCAUGGAGAUCGGACACAUCCAUCAGAAUGCUGAAAACCAAACACUGGCUCCCCUUGCUAAACAAGUCCUGCAUAGGCAAGGAAGAGGUAGGCCCAAGAAGAUGGAUAUUAUGCAUGAGUAAAAGAGUUUGAUGUCGUUGAUGGUGACGUUUCGACUAUCAUCCUAUUCAAGAAACGAGAGGAAACCCUCUAUUAGCUCAUCUGAACUCCUUUGCAAGCCUUUGAAGAGGUAACUCUGGGGCCCAGGAAAAUCCUACAUGUGACUACUGUAAAGAAGACAAUAAAGUGCAACCUGCCCUCCAGAAGUCCAAAUCAUGCUCUUGGGUGUGUCUUACUCAUUCCAAGCAUCUUUCUAUUAACCUGUCUAUUUAAAUCUGUGUUUAAACUCUCCUUUUAAUAAUAAACUCCAACUCUUCUCAUC
rnacentral:lncRNA from 1 species